GCCGGGUGUGGUGGCACACACCUAUAAUACCAGUGGCUCAGGAGGCUGAGGCAGGAGGAUCACAAGUUCAAACUAGCCUUAGGAACUGUGAAGCGCUAAGCAACUCAGUGAGACCCUGUCUCUA
rnacentral:sRNA from 1 species